GAUGAACGCUGGUGGCGUGCCUAAUACAUGCAAGUCGAGCGAACGGACGAGAAGCUUGCUUCUCUGUUGUUUGCGGCGGACGGGUGAGUAACACGUGGAUAACCUACCUAUAAGACUGGGAUAACUUCGGGAAACCGGAGCUAAUACCGGAUAAUAUUUUGAACCGCAUGGUUCAAAAGUGAAAGACGGUCUUGCUGUCACUUAUAGAUGGAUCCGCGCUGCAUUAGCUAGUUGGUAAGGUAACGGCUUACCAAGGCAACGAUGCAUAGCCGACCUGAGAGGGUGAUCGGCCACACUGGAACUGAGACACGGUCCAGACUCCUACGGGAGGCAGCAGUAGGGAAUCUUCCGCAAUGGGCGAAAGCCUGACGGAGCAACGCCGCGUGAGUGAUGAAGGUCUUCGGAUCGUAAAACUCUGUUAUUAGGGAAGAACAUAUGUGUAAGUAACUGUGCACAUCUUGACGGUACCUAAUCAGAAAGCCACGGCUAACUACGUG
rnacentral:rRNA from 1 species